CCUACGGGUGGCAGCAGUGGGGGAUAUUGCACAAUGGGGGAAACCCUGAUGCAGCGACGCCGCGUGGGUGAAGAAGCGCCUCGGCGCGUAAAGCCCUGUCAGCAGGGAAGAAAAUGACGGUACCUGAAGAAGAAGCCCCGGCUAACUACGUGCCAGCAGCCGCGGUAAUACGGAGGGGGCAAGCGUUACCCGGAGUUACUGGGUGUAAAGGGGGCGCAGACGGCGAUGCAAGCCAGGAGUGAAAGCCCGGGGCCCAACCCCGGGACUGCGCGUGGAACUGCGUGGCUAGAGUGCAGGAGGGGCAGGCGGAAUUCCUGGUGUAGCGGUGAAAUGCGUAGAGAGCAGGAGGAACACCGGUGGCGAAGGCGGCCUGCUGGACUGCAACUGACGUUGAGGCCCGAAAGCGUGGGGAGCAAACAGGAUUAGAUACCCUGGUAGUC
rnacentral:rRNA from 1 species